UUUCAUUUCGUGAGAGAGAGAGAAGGAAAAGGGAAAAAAAAAAUAGCUUCAUCUUCUUCAUCUUCAAGCUUGACUCCAUGGCCAAUUUCUUCACAAAUUCAUCAUUCUUCGGAUUUGAUAUUAAAGUGGUUAAUAGGUGAUUCAAAGUGUUGAUAAUAACUGGGGACUUUGAAGGUGAACAUGAAUAGGAUGGAGGUACAGGUUGAGGUCUACUCUAUCCUAGAAUAGACACCUUGGAAGGGUUAUUUCCAUAUAUAUUAAGUUUGAUGUUGAUGUUGUAUUUUGAGGUUGUAAGUUUAGCCUUAACGUUUAGGUAUAGGAGAGAUACCUAAGCGUGGCGGUAACACCCAGUUUUCUGCUGGUUAGAUGUAAGCUUCCGCGACGCAUUAGCAGUGAUUUUGUAAUACAAGUAAGAGUUGAAAAUUGGGGUGUUACACACACAGUGCUGAUAAGUGUCAAAAGUAAUUUUAUAGGGGAAUUCAAGGUCAUUUUGUACAUAUUUGAGUUUACUUUUGGUAAGAAAUGAGACAAAUGGUUGUAUUUUAUCACAAGUGAUAAGAAUUCGAGUGGGAAGAUACUUUAUGACCUUUUUCAGGGAAUGGAGGCCAAAGAGAAGGAUAAAGUUGAAGAAAUUAGCAACGAAGGCCAAGAAGCUUUGCCACGGUCGUGGUGAGAUUCGUGGCGGAGAACCAGAACGAAGCCGCAACGAAUCCUGCCACGAUUGUAGUGAGAAUCGUGGCGAGGAAACAGAAGCCGACACGAUCUCCACCACAAUCGUGGCGGAGAUCACGGUUGAGUAAGUAGCCCCGCCACGAUCGUGGCAGGGAAACAUGAGGCGUGAAAUGAUGUUUAAAUGGCUUUCUCCUUAGUGAUUGAAGACAUCUUCCUCAUUGUCCUUAUUCUAGAUUAGAGUAGUUCUUGUUCUUGUUAUUUCUAGAUACAUUGUACUUGAAUCUCUAGCAAGGAGUAACCCUAGAUCAAGAUCUUGGAGUGAUCCUUCAAUAAUUAUGAAGUGGAUUAGCAACUUGGAUUGAAUUUGGUA